CACUCGGGCCUGAAGGAGAAUCUUCAACAGUGUCACAGGAGCUGUUCUGUCCUGCCUUUCUUUGCAGCUAACCCGGUUGGUGAAAAUUAUCUGGCUUCCCAACCUACAUUCAGGAUUGAGCCUCCGGGAGAUGCUGAGGUGAUGGACCAAAAGGCAGGGCUGAAGGAGGUGUUUCCCCAAGGAAGCAGUGGCUCAUUGGCAGCCCCUGCUGCAGGAAGGAAGGCGAUGCCAGACAAGGGCACAGGCACAGCAGAUGCAGCCGGCACCACAACAUGUGUUCCCGAUACCCACAAGGGCCUUGGAAGGGACUUCUGUAAGGGAGCAGCCUGCUGGGCAGGGUUAAUGGCUGGCCUGCUUUGUUUGGAGCUUGUUCUCAUGUUGUGCUGUGUCAGAUUGUGGUGUUACUGGAAGAAGAAACGGUGAGUGGACAUCUUUCCCUGAAAGAGCUUCUUUUGAAAAUCUAAUACA